ensembl:lncRNA
CCCGUCCAUCCCUGGAGGUGUUCAAGGCCAGGCUGGACGGGGCCCUGGGCAGCCUGGUCUAGUAAAUGGGGAGGUUGGUGGCCCUGCCUGGCAGGGGGGUUGGAGAUUCAUGAUCCUUGAGGUCCCCCCAACCCAGGCCAUUCUGUGACUCUGAUUCUGUGGGUCAGGUCUCCAGGGACGGAGCAUCCACGGCAUCUCUGUGCAACCUGUGCCAGUGCCUCACCACCCCCCCUGCAGAAGAUUCUGUCCCUGUGGCCAACCUAAAUCUCCCCUCUUGGAGCUGGAAACCACAUUGACACAUUCGUCAGUUUUUGAGCAGGAAAUAAGAGCGGCGCAUGCGCAGUACGACCAGGAGGACUUCUUACCAUAGAGAUGGCGGGGCUGACGGCACGGAG